rnacentral:rRNA from 1 species
GACGAACGCUGGCGGCGUGGAUUAGGCAUGCAAGUCGAACGGUAUCAUCCUUUCGGGGGUGAGAGAGUGGCGAACUGGUGAGUAACACGUAGGUUAUCUACCCUCAAGACGGGGACAACCCAGGGAAACUUGGGCUAAUACCGGAUGUGAGCAACUUUUAGUUGUUUGAAAGGUGGCGUAAGCUGUCGCUUGGGGAUGAGCCUGCGUCCUAUUAGUUAGUUGGUGAGGUAACGGCUCACCUAGGCAAUGAUAGGUAGGCGGCCUUAACGGGUGGUCGCCCACACUGGGAUUGAGAUACGGCCCAGACUCCUACGGGAGGCAGCAGUCGAGAAUAGUCUACAAUGGUCGGAAGACUGAUAGUGCGACGCCGCGUGAACGAUGAAUCCCUUCGGGGUGUAAAGUUCUUUUAUAUGUGAGCAGUGCUUCUUAUAUUAACAGUAUGGGGAGAGAGAUAUUAGCAUAUGAAUAAGCAACGGCUAACUCCGUGCCAGCAGCCGACGGUAAUC